ensembl:lncRNA CELF2-AS2 CELF2 antisense RNA 2
AAUCAAGUCAUGGCCAACUCUUCUGGAAGGGCUGAAGAACUGUUAUCCCUCUGCAGUACAUGGGGGUUUGAGCUCACGUCAAUGUGCCUGACCUAAGGGCAAAUGGAGCUAAGCAGGAGGGAGAAUUAGACACUUGCCACGGCUUGGAGACAGGGUCUACUGCUCUCUGCUGAACCAGAGGAAAGAACACACUGGCUCCUGAACCUUCGCAGGAAGACAAGGCGAGGGCUGCUGGGUGCCCGUCGCUGCUCACAGCACAGAACGUCCCACUCCUCAGACUCUUUGUCCCCGUCCUAAGACUGUCCUUCACUUGGUCCAUCCAAUCCAAAAUAUGGGCAUACGAAACACACCUCAUCCUUCACACACACAACAUGCUCAACCUUCACUAGCCACGUGACUUUCUUUCUCACAUCAUCCUGAAUUUGCUUUUCUGAAAUUUACUUUUCAAUCUUCUGACUUUUCUUCAUACCUAAGAAGACUGGACAAAGUGCUUGAAAAGCAAAUGGAAACAUUUUAUGAAUAACUACGCAAAGGAAAGACAUAUAAAUAUUUUUAAAGUUUCCCUUCUACAGAAAUGAGCUUAAGUCAACACUACAGUUGCCACUAAGUGUAAGGAUUCGUGAAGGGGAAAACGACGGACUCCCUUCCCUCUGUUCUUCUCAAGUAAUGCAAAUUAGAGUGCCUGGAAUAAGGGGACCAAGGCCUGAGAUCAAGGAUAAAGUGGUGUCCGCCAACAACCUCUUGUUUGUGUUUUGAUCACCAUCAUUAUUCUAAUAAAGGAAGCUGAAAGUUGUAUUAC